GUAUGCUUAACACAUGCAAGUCGAACGGUAACGAUGCUAGCUUGCUAGCAGGCGACGAGUGGCGGACGGGUGAGUAACGCGUAGGAAUAUACCUAGUAGUGGGGGAUAACAUGGAGAAAUUCAUGCUAAUACCGCAUAUGUCCCAUGGGAUAAAGAGGGCCUCUUCUUGAAAGCUCUCGCUAUUAGAUUAGCCUGCGUCGGAUUAGCUUGUUGGUAGGGUAAUUGCCUACCAAGGCAACGAUCCGUAGCUGGUCUGAGAGGAUGAUC
rnacentral:rRNA from 1 species